rnacentral:misc_RNA from 1 species
AGCAGCCGCGGUAAUUCCAGCUCCAAUAGCGUAUAUUAAAGUUGCUGCAGUUAAAAAGCUCGUAGUUGAAUUUCGGGACCAUCAUGUCGGUCGUGCCUCGGUACGUACUGGCAUUGUUGGUUUCUCCCUUCUGACGAACCAUGAUGUCAUUUAUUUGGUGUCGUGGGAAACCAGGACUGUUACUUUGAAAAAUUAGAGUGUUUAAAGCAGGCUCACGCUUGAAUACAUUAGCAUGGAAUAAUGAAAUAGGACGUUUGAUUCUAUUUUGUUGGUUUCUAGGAUCGACGUAAUGAUUAAUAGGGAUAGUUGGGGGCAUUAGUAUUCAAUUGUCAGAGGUGAAAUUCUUGGAUUUAUUGAAGACUAACUACUGCGAAAGCAUUUGCCAAGGAUGUUUUCAUUAAUCAAGAACGAAAGUUAGGGGAUCGAAGACGAUCAGAUACCGUCGUAGUCUUAACCAUAAACUAUGCCGACUAGGGAUCGGAUGAUGUUAAUUUUUAAUGACUCAUUCGGCUACCG